GUUGUUGUGGAAUUGUUAGAUUACUUGUUAGAUAUUGCGCACUGUCAGAACUAGAAGCACAAGCAUUUCGCUACACUCAAUAACAUCUGCUAACCAUGUGUAUGUGGCCAAUAAAAUGUGAUUUGAUUUGAAUAUGGCCUGGUCAGGGGUAAGCAAUAUGUCCCGCGCCGCCGACUCAUUGAAAUAGAAAUCUUAAUCAAAAUCAAGGUUAGUAAUCGCUGUUCUGAUGUCCAGAAAACUAUUUUCGAUCAUAGGAAAUAAUGGCGGAAACAUUAUGUACUAAAAAAGGUAAAACGGCAGCUGUUCAAUCCAGUAUGGCUGUGAUGGAUUUGUUUUUGUACACCACUGUUCGGUCCGCACCGUGAACCCGAAUGAAUACAUAAAAAAAACAUUAUUAUAAAAUAAAUGUUUACAUUAGGCCUAAUGGCUUCACAGUCGUUUACAAGUGCGAUGGACAGAGAUUGUGGAUAAAAAGUUAAUAGUAUGUUCGCCACUGCUCAACUACAAUAGCCUAUGCAGAGUGGCGGAUGUAGCUGGUGUUGGCCAAUCACAAGUCAUCAAAGUGCCACUACAGUCAUAGAGCCUCCUUGUGUUGGUCAACAAAUUAGAUUAUCUAAUCAAUGGAAAAUGGAAUUAAAAGUUAAAUGAGAAGUAUAUGCGACAACGAACAAGACCCAACAGGUAGGCUGCUAUUUAAUCAUUUGAAUGGAGGUGUUGUUAUUUGUUACUGAUGGACAGGAAAAAAGCGCAUGCAGACUCAAUUAGCCCAGCUAGCUAACUUAGCUAUUUUAGCCAACUAGCUUCUCUCGGUUUGAUGCAGUCAAGACAGGUACUUGGUAGGUAGUCUUGUGGUUAGGACAUUGGUCCAGUAACCAAAAGGUUUCUGGGUCGAAUCCCUGUGCUGACAAGGUAAAAAUCUGUUGUUUUGCCCCUGAACAAGGCAGUUAACCCACUGUUCCCCGGUAGGCCGUCAUUGUAAAUUAGAAUUUGUUCAUAACUGACUUGCCUAGUUAAAUAAAAAAUAAUAUUGGAUGAUAAAUAACCUAGCUAUGACAAGCUAGAAGUUCAUAUACUAGCGCAAGUCAGCUCAGUUGGUUGAUGCCUCUCCCUUGCUCCAGUUUCAAUCGUACUCACAGUAUACACACCUCACAGUACAACACCUUAAGGCCCCUGCUCUCCCUUGCACUGUAUCAGCUCUAGUUAAUAAACUAGCUUACAAAUUGACUUUUCUGCUGCUUCCCUCACUCAGAUCUGACCACGUCUAUACGGAACUGGUCAUCCUCGGGUCCGUUCGGAAUGGGUCUCUGUAUUUAUGCAUAUUUGUCCGGGUGUGAAAGCCCCAGAUUCAUUUCGGAGCAGGUCAAAUUUUUUAGACCUCUACUUGUCAAAACAGACAAUGCCAGGAACAUUGUGAAUGAUGUCACAAAACUGGAGUUGGGCCACAAAUAGGGUGCUUUUUAAUUUAGCGUAUUUUGCCAAAUAAAUCAAAAUGAACUACAGUAACUGUUAGAAUUCAAUUUUUCCGCUGUAUCAUAACCGUACCGUGACCCCAAAACCGCAAUACGUACCGAACAGUGGAUUUGGUGAACCGUUACAUCCCUGUAAAUGAAUGAAUGAAUGAAUCACAGACCAGCCUAAAUGUAGAGCUGCUCUCUUUCAUGGUCCUUUGUUUUACCGGAUUUGGGACUUUCUGCGACCACUAUGGCAGCUUACAGAGAGUUCGCAGGGGACUUGACAUCCAGACCUCCGCCCUUGGAUUACUCCCCCCUUUUCUUCACCGGCAUGUGGAGUAAAGGCAGCUUCUGGUUGUGGGGAGGACUUGGAGUUUGACUCACGGCUUUGCCAGGAUUUUAUGAAGUCCUUUUGCCUGUUUAGGCAUCAACGGUGUGAACUUAAAGCCUCAUCCAGUCGGGGGAACCCAUCCCUCACAGCUGAGAGAGUGGCAGGACAGGUGACUGGGGAUCCUGAGCAGGGAUGUACCACCACCUCGGCCCCAGCAACGCUACAGGGGAUGUCUGUGACAGGGACUGGGCCUGCGCCUACUGGACUAGUGGUGUCAGCCUUCAGAAGUCACGCAGCAUCAACUCAUCACCCCCUGCACACCUCUUCUCUGUACCAACAGUCCACUCUGUUGGCCCAGCCAGCUGUACCCCAGCUUGGUCCUCAGCCUGCGGGACCUGAGUUCCAGCCUGCAGCCCGCUCGGUCACCAUCUCAUUAACCCGUGCAUCAGCCAUCAGCCCGUGCACCGGUCCAGGAAGGAGCCCUGCCCCCACCAAUCCAGUCUGCGGUGCUCCAGUGGAUGCUGCAGCCUUCAUCACUGCCUACACAAGGGCCUCAGGCACCCCAACUGUGCCAACGCCAGCACUCCACAAGUGAGAUUUCUGGAUGUUAAGCCUGUGAUGGAGAACCCUCCAGACCCAGGAGUGGACCACCAUCCUGCCCCGGUAGGAGAGCCUCCGCCAUGCCUACCCUACUCCUCUACCUCCAACCUUGGGACACUAUCAGGCUCUGUUGGGGAACCUACCCCAACACCCUACUGGACAUAGUGGACUAGCCCUGCUUUAGGGUGCCUAGACACAGUUUGUCCCCUGGCCACUCCUUACUUGCCACUGACAGAGGGCGACAUGGGGGUGGCGGAACAUAGCUGGUCGAGGAGGGCUCCCGGCUGACAUUGUUGACACUCAGGCAAGUGAAAUCCUUCUUCUCUAAGACCCAGAAAGUAAAUCAUUAUUAUACUGACUGAUCUCUAGCUCAAUGGAAAGGGUUCUCCAUAACAGAUCUAAGUUGCCUUUGCCAUGUAGAGGAAAAACACACCUCAGAACCUAAAAAGGUCGGAGAGGGUUUCACAGUGAUCCCUGGAACCAUGUUCUCCCGUAGGACAGGGAUGAAAAUAUGGUUAGGGUUCCCCUGCCUUGUUGUCCAGAGCAGUGGUUUUCAACCGGUGUGCCUUGAGGAACUCUCAGGUGUGCCCCGAAACAUUUCCUGAUCUUGAAAAAAAACAACACUCCCUUAUAAACGUGACCUGUGGAAUGCAAAUGGAAUUUUGACUUGAGGGCAACACAGUGCUGCUCAGAUAAUAUAUUGAAUGGCACAUAGUUACAUCUAUAUCGUUGUUUCAAGUCCAGUGCGGUCAGGCUGUUGUUAUAUUUGAAUCACUCAUGAGCAAAGUCAUUUAUAAUUUUACUUCGCCUGUGAGAACCAUUAGCACAGGCAAGUCUGAUUAUUAAUCUUAGCUCUACUAGAGCCUCUGCCAUAGAAACAGGCAAGUCUGAUUAUUAGUCUUAGCUCUACCAGAGCCUCUGCCGUAGAAACAAACGGAGCAUGGCUUUGUGUCGGUGGUUUCACCUUUACAAUGCAGAAAACCACUUGUCUCUAGCUCAAACCAUUCGAAACUAAAGACCUAUUUUACCGGAGCUUUAUUUCUUCUUAAAGGGGUACACACAAAUUAAUCAUCAUGAGUAAGGAACUAUGCAAACUAUGAAAAUAGUUCAAAUAAACCCUAUUUAAUCUCUAAUUAUGGGUAUGGGUAAAUACUCCAUGUUGAAAGUGUGUUUAUUAUCUGUGUGUACGUACCUGAGGGAGUGUCUGUCUGUGUAAUCUGUAUCACCUCUCUCUUCCAGGAGGAGGAGGGUCCAGAGGUGCUGCUGGUGAAGGAUGAGGGGUGUGAGGAGGGUCUGGGGAACCCUGAGGAGACCAUGGUCAUGGAGGACAACCAGACUACACCUCCUCCUGAACCCACAGUGGAACCAGCUGAGGAGCACAGGUCUACACACAGUCUCACUGAGAUGAGCCCACUGUGAAUGGCAUUAGUCAGUAGACAUGGAGGAUGGGAAGCCUGAUCUGCUGCUGGUCAAAGAGGAGACAAUAGAAGAUGGACCAAAGAGCAUUGACCUGCUGAGUGGACUAAAGAUGGGGGAGCAUCUUAGCCUCCCUCCAAACAUCUGCAGGAAGAGGUUUUAACCCCGUAACAGUUGCUGCCUUCAGCCUGCCUUCUACAGGAUCUAUCAACUGGAAGAUGGACCCUGCGACAACACAGACACUCCCUGGCCUUCGUCCUCCUCACACUCUCCUAAUGUUAAACCAGACCUCAGACAAUAUCAGUGCCUGAACACUGAGUGGCUACACAAGCCCAUUGACAAAUAACGAUAGUAGAGACAGAAUCAAUAAAGGCGGCAGCACCAAAGAGAAGCGCUUCACGUGUUCGUUCUGUGGGAAAGCCUUCAGUUUCCUCAAACUGUUGGAGAUCCACAAGAGGAUGCACACGGGGGAGAAAUUGAUUGGGUACCACUUGUGCCAGUUCAGUUUCUCCCACUUGUCCCCCCUGAAGAGGUACCAGUGGGUCCACACAGGGGAAAUCUUACAGCUGGUCCCAGUGUGAGAAGAGGUUCAGCACCAGCUGACGAUGCCCCCGAAGGUCCACAUGGGAGAGAGGCCGUUCGCCUGUAUGCACUGCGGGAAGAGGUUCUCACAGAGGAGCUACCUCAGGAUACACCAGCAGAAAAUGCACACGGCCCAUGUAUAGAGUAUAGUGAUGUAAUGUAGUACUAGUUAGUUUGUAGUUAAUUCUGUUGGUUUAGGAUGUAGUAGGGAACUGGAUGAGGUGAACUGAGGAAAGAAUGAGUAUGAUGAGGCAGAGUAGAUAAAUUGAUGGUUUGUGUGAUGGAGUCUGUAAAAAUGCUUAACUUAUGAAAAGUGACAACCUUGUCCAUUUAGGUUGAUACUGGUGUUUUAUAGUAAGAUAAUGAUAGUGCCUUAAUGUUUACUUGACAAGAAGUAGUGAAGCUGUGUGUAAUGUUAAACCUUUUCCAAAGUUUUCUAAAAAUAAUUUUAUCAAUGCGAGGAUACCAGAUUUACAGAGAAGGUAAAGUGUUACCAUAAUGAGAAAAGUUAUUCUUCUUGUCACAUAUAAUUUUGUGCAAUAAAAGUACUGUACUUCAAAGUC